AAGUCGUAACAAGGUCUCCGUUGGUGAACCAGCGGAGGGAUCAUUACCGAGUUUUCAACUCCCAAACCCACUGUGAACAUAUACCAUUUGUUUAUUCGUUGCCUCGGCGGGUUCUACUCCCUGGAGACAGGGGGCCAGCCCCCGCCGGUGUAACACCCAAAACCCUGAAUGUGUACCCGUUACACGGCAGUAUUACUCUGAGUCACAUCAUUUUAAAUGAAUCAAAACUUUCAACAACGGAUCUCUUGGUUCUG
rnacentral:misc_RNA from 1 species